rnacentral:rRNA from 1 species
UUAACUUGGGAGUCAGAACAUGGGUGAUAAGGUCCGUGUUCGAAAGGGAAACAGCCCAGACCACCAGCUAAGGUCCCAAAAUAUAUGUUAAGUGGAAAAGGAUGUGGCGUUGCCCAGACAACUAGGAUGUUGGCUUAGAAGCAGCCAUCAUUUAAAGAGUGCGUAAUAGCUCACUAGUCGAGUGACACUGCGCCGAAAAUGUACCGGGGCUAAACAUAUUACCGAAGCUGUGGAUUGUCCUUUGGACAAUGGUAGGAGAGCGUUCUAAGGGCGUUGAAGCAUGAUCGCAAGGACAUGUGGAGCGCUUAGAAGUGAGAAUGCCGGUGUGAGUAGCGAAAGACGGGUGAGAAUCCCGUCCACCGAUUGACUAAGGUUUCCAGAGGAAGGCUCGUCCGCUCUGGGUUAGUCGGGUCCUAAGCUGAGGCCGACAGGCGUAGGCGAUGGAUAACAGGUUGAUAUUCCUGUACCACCUAUAAUCGUUUUAAUCGAUGGGGGGACGCAGUAGGAUAGGCGAAGCGUGCGAUUGGAUUGCACGUCUAAGCAGUAAGGCUGAGUAUUAGGCAAAUCCGGUACUCGUUAAGGCUGAGCUGUGAUGGGGAGAAGACAUUGUGUCUUCGAGUCGUUGAUUUCACACUGCCGAGAAAAGCCUCUAGAUAGAAAAUAGGUGCCCGUACCGCAAACCGACACAGGUAGUCAAGAUGAGAAUUCUAAGGUGAGCGAGCGAACUCUCGUUAAGGAACUCGGCAAAAUGACCCCGUAACUUCGGGAGAAGGGGUGCUCUUUAGGGUUAACGCC